UACGAAGGGUGCAAGCGUUACUCGGAAUUACUGGGCGUAAAGGGUGCGUAGGUGGUUUGUUAAGUCUGCUGUGAAAUCCCCGGGCUCAACCUGGGAAUGGCAGUGGAUACUGGCAAGCUAGAGUGCGGUAGAGGGUAGUGGAAUUCCCGGUGUAGCAGUGAAAUGCGUAGAGAUCGGGAGGAACACCAGUGGCGAAGGCGGCUACCUGGACCGAGACUGACGCUGAGGCGCGAAAGCGUGGGGAGCAAACAGG
rnacentral:rRNA from 1 species